UUAUAAAUGUGACCCGGAGUGUAUUUUAAUCAUUGUCCUUUUCCUCAUCUGGCCACUAAGAGAAAGCAAGACUGAGAGUUGAAAUGACUUGCCAAGUUGAGAAGUGUUUGCAAAGUUUGGCCCUGACACUGGCUGCUGACAUCAUCCUGUCACAGAAGCCACAUUGUCCACCUGCUGAGCAGCCAUGGUGAAGGCAUGCUGGAGCCUCACCUCUAGGUGGACUUGCUGGGUGGUGGGUAAAGUAGGAAGGAUGAAUUCGUGACUUCCUCCUGCCCACUGAACACCUCGCUGAACACCCCACACACUCUCCAGGUCACCGAGAUGAGACCUCAGGGAAAAAUCAGCCAAGUCCAGAGAGUCUCGAGGACUCCCGGCUAGCAGUUGGUUCACCAGGAAGCUCAACGUAUCCUACAGAUUAUUGGCCAUUGUGAACAUGCCCAGAAGAGCUGUUUCCCGUCAGCCUGGCCCCAGAACAAAGACCUGGAACAGACUUGAACUGAAGCUGGAGCCAGGAACCAAGGCCAGCCAACCUUCAGCCUGAAAGAGAGCUAGGUUAGCCAAACCGUGUCAUGUACAGAUCCAC
rnacentral:lncRNA from 1 species